AUUGAACGCUGGCGGCAGGCUUAACACAUGCAAGUCGAGCGGGGUGAUGGUGCUUGCACUAUCACUUAGCGGCGGACGGGUGAGUAAUGCUUAGGAAUCUGCCUAUUAGUGGGGGACACAGCUCGAAAGGGAUGCUAAUACCGCAUACGUCCUACGGGAGAAAGCAGGGGAUCACUUGUGACCUUGCGCUAAUAGCUGAGCCAAAGUCGGAUUAGCUAGUUGGUGGGGUAAAGGGCUACCAAGGCGACGAUCUGUAGCGGGUCUGAGAGGAUGAUCCGCCACACUGGGACUGAGACACGGCCCAGACUCCUACGGGAGGCAGCAGUGGGGAAUAUUGGACAAUGGGGGGAACCCUGAUCCAGCCAUGCCGCGUGUGUGAAGAAGGCCUUAUGGUUGUAAAGCACUUUAAGCGAGGAGGAGGCUCUUUUGGUUAAUACCCAAGAUGAGUGGACGUUACUCGCAGAAUAAGCACCGGCUAACUCUGUGCCAGCCGCCGCCGUAA
rnacentral:rRNA from 1 species